CUUGAGAUUAUUAUUGAUAAGGAGUCGGACCUGCCCGGUGAAAUUUUUUAACGGCCGCGGUACUCUGACCGUGCAAAGGUAGCAUAAUCAUUUGCCUUAUAAUUGAAGGCUGGUAUGAAUGGUUUGACGAGAAUAUAACUGUCUCUUUACAAUUUCAUAGAAUUUUAUUUUUAGGUGAAAAAGCCUAGAUUAAAUUAAAAGACAAGAAGACCCUAUCGAGCUUUAAAGAAGUUAAUAGGUUCAUAUUUCUAUUAAUAGAAAGUAUAACUAUUAAAUAUUUUGGUUGGGGCGACUAAGGAACAUGGAAAGCUUCCUUUACAUAUCUUGUUUACAUGCAGGUAUUGAUCCAUAGUUAGUGAUUAAAGGAAUUAGUUACCGUAGGGAUAACAGCAUUAUCCUUUUUGAGAGUUCUAAUCGAAAAAAGGGUUUGUGACCUCGAUGUUGGACCAGAAUGUCCUGAAGAUGCAGAAGUCUUUAAGGGUUGGUCUGUUCGACCAUUAAAAUUCUA
rnacentral:rRNA from 1 species